rnacentral:rRNA from 1 species
UACGGAGGGUGCAAGCGUUAAUCGGAAUUACUGGGCGUAAAGCGUGCGCAGGCGGUUUUGUAAGUCUGUCGUGAAAUCCCCGGGCUCAACCUGGGAAUUGCGUUGGAGACUGCAAGGCUAGAAUCUGGCAGAGGGGGGUAGAAUUCCACGUGUAGCAGUGAAAUGCGUAGAGAUGUGGAGGAACACCGAUGGCGAAGGCAGCCCCCUGGGUCAAGAUUGACGCUCAUGCACGAAAGCGUGGGGAGCAAACAGG